GACGAACGCUGGCGGCGUGCUUAACACAUGCAAGUCGAACGGAAAGGCCUGCUUUCCCUUGUGGAUUGCGGGUACUCGAGUGGCGAACGGGUGAGUAACACGUGAGUGAUCUGCCCCCAACUUGGGUAUAAGCCUGGGAAACUGGGUCUAAUUCCCGAUAGGACUGCAGGGUGGUGCCUGUGGUGGAAAACGAUUUUCUAGUGGUUGGGGAUGAGCUCGCGGCCUAUCAGCUUGUCGGUGGGGUAAUGGCCUACCAAGGCGGCGACGGGUAGCCGGCCUGGGAGGGUGGACGGCCACAUUGGGGCUGAGAUACGGCCCAGACUCCUACGGGAGGCAGCAGUGGGGAAUAUUGCACGAUGGGCGGAAGCCUGAUGCAGCGACGCCGCGUGGGGGAUGACGGCCUUCGGGUUGUAAACUCCUUUCGACCGCGAGGAAGCCACCUGGUUGGAAGGGUGGUGACGGUAGUGGUAGAAGAAGCACCGGCUAACUACGUG
rnacentral:rRNA from 1 species